rnacentral:rRNA from 1 species
GAUGAACGCUGGCGGCGUGCCUAAUACAUGCAAGUCGAGCGAACAGACGAGGAGCUUGCUCCUCUGACGUUAGCGGCGGACGGGUGAGUAACACGUGGAUAACCUACCUAUAAGACUGGGAUAACUUCGGGAAACCGGAGCUAAUACCGGAUAAUAUAUUGAACCGCAUGGUUCAAUAGUGAAAGACGGUUUUGCUGUCACUUAUAGAUGGAUCCGCGCCGCAUUAGCUAGUUGGUAAGGUAACGGCUUACCAAGGCAACGAUGCGUAGCCGACCUGAGAGGGGGGUAGGCCACACGGGAACGGAGACACGGUCCAGACUCCUACGGGAGGCAGCAGUAGGGAAUCUUCCGCAAUGGGCGAAAGCCUGACGGAGCAACGCCGCGUGAGUGAUGAAGGUCUUCGGAUCGUAAAACUCUGUUAUUAGGGAAGAACAAAUGUGUAAGUAACUAUGCACGUCUUGACGGUACCUAAUCAGAAAGCCACGGCUAACUACGUG